UUCUCCGAAUCCCACGAAGACUCGUAAAAUAAAUUACCACACUGUCCUCCGUUCCAGGAAGGAAAAUCCCCAAAUCAGAAAAUGACGAAACCCUAGAAUCGGAAUUGAAGGAUUUCAAAUGCUUCGUAGGGCUUUGAGGUUGUAAAUUUGAUGGUUUACGUGACUCGAAAAGAGAGCAUAGCUUUUUAACGGUACCUUUGAAGGAACUUCCCAUUGAACCUAUCGAUGGGCUGUGCAGUUCUCCGAAUCCCACGAAGACUCGUAAAGUAAAUUACGACACUGUCCUCCGUUCCAGGCAGGAAAAUCCCCAAAUCAGAAAAUGACGAAACCCUAGAAUCGGAAUUGAAGGAUUUCAAAUGCUUCGUAGGGCUUUGAGGUUGUAAAUUUGACGGUUUACGUGACUCGAAAAGAGAGCAUAGCUUUUUAACGGUACCUUUGAAGGAACUUCCCAUUGAACCUAUCGAUGGGCUGUGCAGUUUUUUGACGGAGCCGUUACGUUCGAUUGAAGGAGGAGAAGGAUAGAAAUAUGUGACGGGCUUUUCUGGGAAUUCAAUUGGGUUAACGGCAGUAU
rnacentral:lncRNA from 1 species